GCAGUCAUGGCGGAAUUGGCAUACGCGCUAGAUUCAGGUUCUAGUCCGGGCAACUGGGUGAGGGUUCAAGUCCCUUUGACUGCA
rnacentral:tRNA from 1 species